GUGGGGAAUCUUGCGCAAUGGGCGAAAGCCUGACGCAGCAACGCCGCGUGAGCGAAGAAGGCCUUCGGGUUGUAAAGCUCUGUCAGGGGGAAAGAAGGCACCUGGGUUAAUAGCCCAAGGGCUGACGGUACCUCCAAAGGAAGCCACGGCUAACUACGUGCCAGCAGCCGCGGUAAUACGUAGGUGGCGAGCGUUGUCCGGAAUCAUUGGGCGUAAAGAGCGCGUAGGUGGCUUGUCAGGUCUGGUGUGAAAUCCUGGGGCUUAACCCCAGGCGUGCAUCGGAAACCGGCUUGCUAGAGUCUGGGAGAGGAGAGUGGAAUUCCUGGUGUAGCGGUGAAAUGCGUAGAUAUCAGGAGGAACACCGGUAGCGAAGGCGGCUCUCUGGAACAGUACUGACGCUGAGGCGCGAAAGCUAGGGGAGCAAACAGGAUUAGA
rnacentral:rRNA from 1 species